AAUAACAAUAAAACAAUAAAUGUACUGUCACGAAAGAAAAAUGAGCUAAACAUGUAUAUUAAUAUAACAUACGUUGCAUAGUAUGUAUAAAAUAUGUGUUUAGGGGUGAUAGGCCUUCCAAAUAUUCUUAUAACUUGUUUCAUAUGAAAAGUAUUAAGUACAGGAAAAGAUUUAAAAAGUUAAGCUUUUAAAUAGUUAUAAAAAAUAUUAUUUUCUUGUAGUGUAGUGUAACAGCUGUCUACAUGACAAUUUAACAUUUAACAUGAUAACUUAUAUUAAAUAAUAUGGCAAUAAAAAUUUUGUUUUUAUUCGAUAAUGUUAUUAUUAGUAAUAUUACAAUAUGUGCUAAAGGAACUCGGCAAAUAACCACUCAACUGUUUAUCAAAAACAUAGCUAUAUGAGUUAAUAUAUAGUUAUUUCUGCUCAAUGACAUUUAAAUAGCCGCAGUACUCUGACUGUGCAAAGGUAGCAUAAUCAGUUGGCUUUUAAUUGGAGUCUGGAAUGAAGGAAAAUAUGGGUAGUGACUGUCUUAGCGCAUUUUUUCGAACUUAUUUAGCAAGUGCAAAUACUUGUGGUUUAACAAUAGACGAGAAGACCCUAGAAACUUGAACUAGUUUUUGUUGGGGCGACAGAAUUACAUUUAACUAAUCUUAUAUACAUGACGCAUUACUGAGAGUAUAAGUUACUCUAGGGAUAACAGCAUAAUUUUAACAGUUUGUGACCUCGAUGUUGGACUAGGUAUUAUACCCUUAAGACAGGGGUAUAUCAUGCUCUGUUCGAGCAAUAUUACCUACAUGAUCUGAGUUCAGACCGG
rnacentral:rRNA from 1 species